AUUGAACGCUGGCGGCAGGCUUAACACAUGCAAGUCGAGCGGGGUGAUGGUGCUUGCACUAUCACUUAGCGGCGGACGGGUGAGUAAUGCUUAGGAAUCUGCCUAUUAGUGGGGGACAACAUCUCGAAAGGGAUGCUAAUACCGCAUACGUCCUACGGGAGAAAGCAGGGGAUCACUUGUGACCUUGCGCUAAUAGAUGAGCCUAAGUCGGAUUAGCUAGUUGGUGGGGUAAGGGCCUACCAAGGCGGCGAUCUGUAGCGGGUCUGAGAGGAUGAUCCGGCACGCUGGGACUGAGAAGCGGCCCAGACUCCGACGGGAGGCAGCAGUGGGGAAUAUUGGGCAAUGGGGGGAACCCUGAUGCAGCCAUGCCGCGUGUGUGGAGAAGGCCUUAUGGUUGUAAAGCACUUUAUGCGAGGAGGGGGCUCUUUCGGUUAAUACCCAAGAUGAGUGGACGUUACUCGCAGAAUAAGCACCGGCUAACUCUGUGCCAGCAGCCGCAGUAA
rnacentral:rRNA from 1 species